rnacentral:tRNA from 1 species
GCCCUGGUGGCCUAGCAAUUAAGGAUCAGCAUUGUCACCGCUGUGGCUCAGGUUCAAUCCCUGGCCAGGGAA